GCGGGCUUGGAAUCAUGAUGCUGUGGGCCCGCAUCAGCGCGUUCUAGCGAGUGAUCACGGGGAUCUCCAUACACUCGCCGGUAUAGCCGAACUGGUACGAAAGUAGGCCGUCGGGGGACACUCGCCAUUGCCCCGGCGCUCUGAAUUUAAUAAGCCCAGUUCGCUGCACGCCGUGGAGGGGUGAGACUUGUUGGAAGUCUCAGAAGGUGCAGACGCCG
rnacentral:ncRNA from 1 species